CAACUGGAGUGAAGCUCUAGCAUAUUGCCGAUUGAUCAUUUCACUGUAUCAAAGAGUAUAUCCAGGCACUCAUCCUUCAAUUGGAUGGCAUCACCAUGCCUGUGGAAAGAUGGAAUGGUUACUUGGAGAGGUCAAGAAUGCUCUGAUAUUUAUAACCAAGGCAGUCGAUAUUCUGCAGAUUUCUUAUGGGACAAGCACACCCUUCAUGAAUGAUCUUAUCAGUAUAUUGGAGGAGAUACGUGCCUCGAUGAUGAAUAAAUUUACUAGUCUAUGCUAGCUCGCCUUAGGAUUUUGCUGUUCAACAUUGCACUUUACUAUUACUUCGACUUAUUAUGUAUCAACCUGUGGGCGAGUUGCACGAGGUGACA